ACGAAGGGGGCUAGCGUUGUUCGGAAUUACUGGGCGUAAAGGGUGCGCAGGCGGCCGGGUGUGUCAGAUGUGAAAUCCCGAGGCUCAACCUCGGAACUGCGUCUGAAACUACUCGGCUAGAGUACUGGAGAGGGUAACGGAAUUCACGGUGUAGCAGUGAAAUGCGUAGAUAUCGUGAGGAACACCAGAGGCGAAGGCGGUUACCUGGACAGUUACUGACGCUCAGGCACGAAAGCAUGAGGAGCAAAAGGGA
rnacentral:rRNA from 1 species